GGUAAAAUGGCUGAAUAUAGGCAAUAAAUUGUAAAUUUAUGUAUGAAAAAGAUUUUCUUUUAUCA
rnacentral:tRNA from 1 species